rnacentral:rRNA from 1 species
UACGAAGGGGGCUAGCGUUGCUCGGAAUCACUGGGCGUAAAGGGCGCGUAGGCGGCACUGUUAGUCAGGCGUGAAAUUCCCGGGCUCAACCUGGGGGCUGCGUUUGAUACGUGCGGGCUUGAGUUCGGAAGAGGGUCGUGGAAUUCCCAGUGUAGAGGUGAAAUUCGUAGAUAUUGGGAAGAACACCGGUGGCGAAGGCGGCGACCUGGUCCGAUACUGACGCUGAGGCGCGAAAGCGUGGGGAGCAAACAGG